GGACUACCAGGGUAUCUAAUCCUGUUUGCUCCCCACGCUUUCGCGCCUCAGCGUCAGUCUGUGUCCAGGGUGCCGCCUUCGCCACCGGUGUUCUUUCCGAUAUCUACGCAUUUCACCGCUACACCGGAAAUUCCACACCCCUCUACACGACUCUAGACAUGCAGUAUUAGAUGCAAGUCCCAGGUUAAGCCCGGGCCUUUCACAUCCAACUUACACAUCCGCCUACGCGCCCUUUACGCCCAGUAAUUCCGAUUAACGCUCGCACCCUCUGUAUUACCGCGGCGGCUGGCAC
rnacentral:rRNA from 2 species